AUGCGCCCCACACUUGCGCGCGAAACCCCUUCCCUGGAGGAGCUCGGGCCUCGGAGCGGCAGACGAGCGAGGAGGUCGGAGGAGAAAGCACCGUGGCGGGCGUCCCUUCGUCACUACACAGCUUCGGGGCCGGUUGUUACCUGUGGACUGGUGCAUUCCUAUAGGAAAGAUGGAGAGCUUGAUAAGCUAGAGAGACUCCACAAGGCAGAAGUUACUUUUUUAUGGUGACUGGACAGCAGGCAAAUAUGAUGCAAAAGGUGUGCUGCGCUGUGGUGUCACAAUCCUCUAACAAGUCACCGGCACCUGCCUGGAAGUGGAGGAUGCCUUGCAGAUUGGUGGGACAACCCAGCCAUCAGUCAAGCUUAGGAAGCCAUCUGUCAGAAAGAAGAGCAUGCUGACUGUGGCUUAUGUUUUACAUUAUAGGAACUCGUUUCACUGAACAUGCACAAAGCCGUCAAUUUUAUCUUUGCAUCUGUGUGCUCGACUGUGGUCCCCAUCGGGUGUUGCAGCCCUGCAGCAAACCACCUGAACACGCCUGGGUGGAGAGAUGUCUCAUCAUACAUUGGUGGAACAAUCGGCUGUCAGACUUCAGGAGCAGUCUAUCCAGAAGAAGGGAAGAUGUUGAGUGGCUUCAAAUUGCUUGUGGGUGGAUAUAAUAACGGAGACUGGAGAUACAUUGGUUAACUGGCUGAUAUUUUAAGCUUUCCUUGUAAAUGUUUUCAGUGUUAUCUGCAUGUUUUGUUACAUAACUUAAUUCUGACAGGUAUCUUCAACAAAAUAUUCCCAACAUUGAGUGUGUGACCACUGUCUGGGAGGUAUCA